UAAGCAAUAACAAUUUUUGGGGUUGUUUAAAACAAGGGUUAUUCCAAGCAAGGUUUAAGGGUUGUUUAAAGCAAAGAAUAAGGAUAUUUUUGGGGUUAGAAGGCCACGAAAAUCUGCACCAUUUUCAUCAUCUAAAAGUGUUCUUCAAGGGCUUGCUUGAGGAAAAACACCACUAGCCAGAGAUCUCGCUUUUGAUCAGCCCUCUUUCACUCUCAAUUCAAGUUAAAGAUUUAGGUGCGUAGCUUGGACCACCCUUUUGGACUCUAAUAUGCUUGUAUGGUUGAACAAGUAUUGCAAACAUUUAAUCAUUUUAAUUAUGAAUUUGGUUGUGUAAUGGAUU